CCAGACUCCUACGGGAGGCAGCAGUGGGGGAUAUUGCACAAUGGGGGAAACCCUGAUGCAGCGACGCCGCGUGUGGGAAGACGGUCUUCUGGAUUGUAAACCACUGUCCCCAGGGACGAAAAUGACGGUACCUGGGGAGGAAGCUCCGGCUAACUACGUGCCAGCAGCCGCGGUAAUACGUAGGGGGCAAGCGUUAUCCGGAUUUACUGGGUGUAAAGGGAGCGUAGACGGUGCAGCAAGUCUGAUGUGAAAGGUCGGGGCCCAACCCCGGGACUGCAUUGGAAACUGUUGAACUGGAGUACAGGAGAGGUAGGCGGAAUUCCUAGUGUAGCGGUGAAAUGCGUAGAUAUUAGGAGGAACACCAGUGGCGAAGGCGGCUUACUGGACUGUAACUGACGUUGAGGCUCGAAAGCGUGGGGAGCAAACAGGAUUAGAUACCCCAGUA
rnacentral:rRNA from 1 species